rnacentral:rRNA from 1 species
GAUAAACGCUGGCGGCGUGCAUGAGACAUGCAAGUCGAACGAAGGAUCGGGCUUGCUCGAUCCUUAGUGGCGGACGGCUGGGUAACGCGUAGGUGACCUACCCCGAAGUGGGGAAUAACUGCCCGAAAGGGUGGCUAAUACCGCAUGUGGUCGCACGUUCAUUCGUGCGAGUAAAGCCGCAAGGCGCUUCGGGAGGGGCCUGCGUCCGAUUAGCUCGUUGGUGGGGUAAUGGCUUACCAAGGCGACGAUCGGUAGGUGGUCUGAGAGGACGAUCACCCAGACUGGGACUGAGACACGGCCCAGACUCCUACGGGAGGCAGCAGUCGGGAAUUUUGCUCAAUGGGGGAAACCCUGAAGCAGCAACGCCGCGUGAGGGAUGAAGGCCUUCGGGUUGUAAACCUCUUUUGUCAGGGACGAUGAUGACGGUACCUGGCGAAUAAGCCACGGCUAACUACGUG